rnacentral:rRNA from 1 species
CCUACGGGUGGCAGCAGUGAGGAAUAUUGGUCAAUGGACGAGAGCCUGAACCAGCCAAGUAGCGUGAAGGAUGACUGCCCUAUGGGUUGUAAACUUCUUUUAUAUGGGAAUAAAAUGUUGCACGUGUGGUGUUUUGUAUGUACCAUAUGAAUAAGGAUCGGCUAACUCCGUGCCAGCAGCCGCGGUAAUACGGAGGAUCCGAGCGUUAUCCGGAUUUAUUGGGUUUAAAGGGAGCGUAGGUGGAUUGUUAAGUCAGUUGUGAAAGUUUGCGGCUCAACCGUAAAAUUGCAGUUGAAACUGGCAGUCGUGAGUACAGUAGAGGUGGGCGGAAUGCGUGGUGUAGCGGUGAAAUGCUUAGAUAUCACGAAGAACUCCGAUUGCGAAGGCAGCUUACUGGACUGCAACUGACACUGAGGCUCGAAAGUGUGGGUAUCAAACAGGAUUAGAUACCCGUGUAGUC